rnacentral:rRNA from 1 species
AUUGAACGCUGGCGGCAGGCCUAACACAUGCAAGUCGAGCGAGCGGCGGGUGGGUGAGUAAUGUCUGUGAAAAUGCCCGAGGGAGGGGGAUAACUAUUCGAAACGGUGGCUAAAAUAGCAUACCCCAUCAGGUGCCCAGAGGGGAUUAGAUAGUAGGUGGGGUAAAGGCUCACCUAGGCGACGAUCCCUAGCUGGUCUGAGAGGAUGACCAGCCACACUGGAACUGAGACACGGUCCAGACUCCUACGGGAGGCAGCAGUGGGGAAUAUUGCACAAUGGGCGCAAGCCUGAUGCAGCCAUGCCGCGUGUAUGAAGAAGGCCUUCGGGUUGUAAAGUACUUUCAGCGAGGAGGCGUUACCCGCAGAAGAAGCACCGGCUAACUCCGUGCCAGCCGCCGCGGUAAUAC